CGGAGGGUGCAAGCGUUAUCCGGAUUUACUGGGUUUAAAGGGUGUGUAGGCGGGUCUUUAAGUCAGUGGUGAAAUCUCCGGGCUCAACUUGGAAACUGCCAUUGAUACUAUUGAUCUUGAAUUCUGUUGAGGUGGGCGGAAUAAGUCAUGUAGCGGUGAAAUGCAUAGAUAUGACUUAGAACCCCGAUUGCGAAGGCAGCUCACUAAGCAGAUAUUGACGCUGAGGCACGAAAGCGUGGGGAUCAAACAGGAUUAGAUACCCUGGUAGUCCACGCCCUAAACGAUGAUUACUCGACAUACGCGAUACACAGUGUGUGUCUGAGCGAAAGCAUUAAGUAAUCCACCUGGGAAGUACGACCGCAAGGUUG
rnacentral:rRNA from 1 species